AGAGUUCCUUCCUGGCUCAGGAUGAACGCUGGCGGCGUGCCUAACACAUGCAAGUCGAGCGAACCCUUCGGGGUGAGCGGCGGACGGGUGAGUAACGCGUGGGUAACCUGCCCUGUACACACGGAUAACAUACCGAAAGGUAUGCUAAUACGAGAUAAUAUAUUUUAAUCGCAUGGUUAAGAUAUCAAAGCUCCGGCGGUACAGGAUGGACCCGCGUCUGAUUAGCUAGUUGGUGAGGUAAUGGCUCACCAAGGCGACGAUCAGUAGCCGACCUGAGAGGGUGAUCGGCCACACUGGAACUGAGACACGGUCCAGACUCCUACGGGAGGCAGCAGUGGGGAAUAUUGCACAAUGGGCGAAAGCCUGAUGCAGCAACGCCGCGUGAGCGAUGAAGGCCUUCGGGUCGUAAAGCUCUGUCCUCAAGGAAGAUAAUGACGGUACUUGAGGAGGAAGCCCCGGCUAACUACGUGCCAGCAGCCGCGGUAAUACGUAGGGGGCUAGCGUUAUCCGGAAUUACUGGGCGUAAAGGGUGCGUAGGCGGUCUUUCAAGCCAGAAGUGAAAGGCUACGGCUCAACCGUAGUAAGCUUUUGGAACUGUAAGACUUGAGUGCAGGAGAGGAGAGUGGAAUUCCUAGUGUAGCGGUGAAAUGCGUAGAUAUUAGGAGGAACACCAGUAGCGAAGGCGGCUCUCUGGACUGUAACUGACGCUGAGGCACGAAAGCGUGGGGAGCAAACAGGAUUAGAUACCCUGGUAGUCCACGCCGUAAACGAUGAAUAUUAGGUAUUGGGGGUACCCCCCUCGGUGCCGCAGUUAACGCAUUAAGUAUUCCGCCUGGGAAGUACGCUCGCAAGAAGGAAACUCAAAGGAAUUGACGGGGACCCGCACAAGUAGCGGAGCAUGUGGUUUAAUUCGAAGCAACGCGAAGAACCUUACCUAAGCUUGACAUCCCAUUGACCUCUCCAUAAUAAGAGAUUUCCCUUCGGGGACAGUGGUGACAGGUGGUGCAUGGUUGUCGUCAGCUCGUGUCGUGAGAUGUUGGGUUAAGUCCCGCAACGAGCGCAACCCUUAUUUUUAGUU
rnacentral:rRNA from 1 species